rnacentral:sRNA from 1 species
AGUCUCCGCGUCCCGCUCGCUGGGAGAGAGGUACCUCUCCUUUUCCCUCUCCCUUUCCCUAAGGAGUGGAGUCAACAUAUCAAUGGAGCAAGUCACAGUCGUCGAUGCCAGCUUCUUCUUGAAAUCUACCCAGAAUGGAAUCCUGACAAUGAUACAGGACACACAAUGGGUGAUCCAUUCAUGUUGCAGCAGUCUACAAAUCCAGCACCAGGAAUUCUGGGACCUCCACCUCCCUCAUUUCAUCUUGGGGGACCAGCAGUUGGACCAAGAGGAAAUCUGGGCUUUUAUUGAGAUGGAGACAAGAGAAGAUGCAAUGGCAAUGGUUGACCAUUGUUUGAAAAAAGCCCUUUGGUUUCAGGGGAGAUGUGUGAAGGUUG